rnacentral:rRNA from 1 species
UACGUAGGGGGCAAGCGUUGUCCGGAUUUACUGGGCGUAAAGGGUGCGUAGGCGGACAUUUAAGUCAGAUGUGAAAUACCCGAGCUUAACUUGGGUGCUGCAUUUGAAACUGGGUGUCUAGAGUGCAGGAGAGGUAAGUGGAAUUCCUAGUGUAGCGGUGAAAUGCGUAGAGAUUAGGAAGAACACCAGUGGCGAAGGCGGCGACCUGGGUAGAUACUGACGCUGAGGCGCGAAAGCGUGGGGAGCAAACAGG